GUCUACGCCAUGCUACCCUGAACCAGCCCGAUCCUGUCUGAUCUCGGAAGCUAAGCAGGGUUGGGCCUGGUUAGUACUUGGAUAGGAGACCACCUAGGAAGACUAGGUGCUGUAGGCA
rnacentral:rRNA from 1 species